rnacentral:lncRNA from 1 species
UGUUCUUCUCUAAAAUUGUUUUGAUGCAUUAUAUAUGAACCUAUGAACCUUGAAGGGGAUUUGCAUGACUAUAGCUUUGAUAAUUUGUUAUAAAUGCUUCCGCUGCUUUCGUAUAUUAAAUUUGAUUUGUAUAUGCAUGUUAGUCAUUUUGAAAUCCCUAUAUGUGAAAACUCAUAAUUUUCCCUUCACUUUGUUCUGUGAACAUGAGUUGCUAAACCCGUUUUUGCUAGAGGGAAUUCAAAGCCAUUAAUAUAUUUGCAAUAUGAAUUGAUUACUUUCAAUUGUGAUUUCAUAAACCUUGA